rnacentral:rRNA from 1 species
AAUCAACGCUGGCGGCGUGCCUCAGACAUGCAAGUCGAACGAUUAAAGCUCUCUUCGGAGAGUGUAUAGAGUGGCGCACGGGUGAGUAACACGUAAGUAAUCUACCUUUGAGUGGGGAAUAACAGUCGGAAACGGCUGCUAAUACCGCAUAACGCAGCGGCACCGCAAGGUGACAGUUGUUAAAGGAGCAAUCCGCUUAAAGAGGAGCUUGCGGCAGAUAGCUUGUUGGUAAGGUAACGGCUUACCAAGGCUACGAUCUGUAUCCGGUCUAAGAGGACGGUCGGACACACUGACACUGAAUAACGGGUCAGACUCCUACGGGAGGCAGCAGUCGGGAAUUUUGGGCAAUGGGCGAAAGCCUGACCCAGCAACGCCGCGUGAAGGAUGAAGUAUUUCGGUA